AACGAACGCUGGCGGCAUGCCUAACACAUGCAAGUCGAACGAGACCUUCGGGUCUAGUGGCGCACGGGUGCGUAACGCGUGGGAACCUGCCCUUAGGUUCGGAAUAACUCCCCGACAGGGGUGCUAAUACCGGAUAAUGUCUUCGGACCAAAGAUUUAUCGCCUUUGGAUGGGCCCGCGUUGGAUUGGCUAGUUGGUGGGGUAAAAGCCUACCAAGGCGACGAUCCAUAGCUGGUCUGAGAGGAUGAUCAGCCACACUGGGGCUGAGACACGGCCCAGACUCCUACGGGAGGCAGCAGUGGGGAAUAUUGGACAAUGGGCGAAAGCCUGAUCCAGCAAUGCCGCGUGAGUGAUGAAGGCCUUAGGGUUGUAAAGCUCUUUUACCCGGGAUGAUAAUGACAGUACCGGGAGAAUAAGCUCCGGCUAACUCCGUG
rnacentral:rRNA from 1 species